GUGCUGGCUUUGGCAUCACAAAUACUAAAAUUGGAACCAUACAGAGAUUAGCAUGGCCCCUGCGCAAGGAUGACACACAAUUUUGAGAAGCGUUCCAUAUUUAA
ensembl:snRNA U6 U6 spliceosomal RNA